UGAAAGGGAAACAAUACUCCCAAAAUCAUUCCUGGAGAUAUCACAGACAAAAAUAAGUAAGAGUACAUAGAUGAACAAACAACACAACAGGAGUCUCAAGAUGAGAGCUUCAUGACAAAAUGCCAGAGGGCUCUAGCAAAGCUGCCCCCAGCAAAAAGAACAGGACGACAUGCCUAAAAUAGAUGUUGCAGUAGCGUCAUGCUGUUUGGAAAUGUGGAGACAGACAACAAAAGGAACAGAUUUUAUAUAGAUGACAAAGACUUUGAAGUCAAAGGAGACUCACAUUCACAGUGCAAGUUCCCUAACAGAUCACAUCAACCAAAGGAAAAGCACUAGUGAAAGCCAAGAUGCAACUCCAGAUGCUUCAAAGCUUGUGUUCUACUUGUGACCAAGGACUCAGCCAAGCAUGGAACCCAGGUUAGAAUUCCUCUUCAUAUCAUAUGAGAACAAAACAGAACAGCCUAGAACACAGUAAGUACUGUGAAUACUCAAACUCGUAACCGCCUACA